AGAGUUUGAUCAUGGCUCAGAACGAACGCUGGCGGCAGGCUUAACACAUGCAAGUCGAACGCACCUUUCGGGGUGAGUGGCAGACGGGUGAGUAACGCGUGGGAACGUGCCCUUCAGUUCGGGAUAACCCAGGGAAACUUGGGCUAAUACCGGAUACGUGCGAGAGCAGAAAGAUUUAUCGCUGAAGGAUCGGCCCGCGUCUGAUUAGCUAGUUGGGGGGUAAUGGCCCACCAAGGCGACGAUCAGUAGCUGGUCUGAGAGGAUGAUCAGCCACAUUGGGACUGAGACACGGCCCAAACUCCUACGGGAGGCAGCAGUGGGGAAUAUUGGACAAUGGGCGCAAGCCUGAUCCAGCCAUGCCGCGUGAGUGAUGAAGGCCUUAGGGUUGUAAAGCUCUUUCGUCCGGGACGAUAAUGACGGUACCGGAAGAAGAAGCCCCGGCUAACUUCGUGCCAGCAGCCGCGGUAAUACGAAGGGGGCUAGCGUUGUUCGGAAUCACUGGGCGUAAAGGGCGCGUAGGCGGCUUUGUAAGUCGGGGGUGAAAGCCUGUGGCUCAACCACAGAAUUGCCUUCGAUACUGCAUGGCUUGAGACCGGAAGAGGUAAGUGGAACUGCGAGUGUAGAGGUGAAAUUCGUAGAUAUUCGCAAGAACACCAGUGGCGAAGCGGCUUACUGGUCCGGUUCUGACGCUGAGGCGCGAAAGCGUGGGGAGCAAACAGGAUUAGAUACCCUAGUAGUCC
rnacentral:rRNA from 1 species